rnacentral:rRNA from 1 species
UACGAAGGGGGCGAGCGUUGUUCGGAUUUACUGGGCGUAAAGGGCGCGCAGGCGGCUCAUUUUGUCAGGCGUGAAAGCCCCGGGCUUAACCUGGGAACUGCGUUUGAUACGGUGUGGCUAGAGUUCGGGAGAGGAGAGUGGAAUUCCCAGUGUAGAGGUGAAAUUCGUAGAUAUUGGGAAGAACACCGGUGGCGAAGGCGGCUCUCUGGACCGAGACUGACGCUGAGGCGCGAAAGCGUGGUGAGCAAACAGG